AAUAAUGUCAUUUUACGAUCAGUAUUCGUCUACUGGGUGCUUGGGACUGUGCAAGGCCUGACGAGAGAAUUCAGCAAAAACUGUGACUAUCUCAUUGCUUCUAUCUGCGCUAGGUCUCUAUUAGAACAAUGAAUGGUCUCUGUGUUUCCCUCAAUCUCAUUAAGUUUACUUAAAAGUUAUUUUAAAUUCUGCAGUCGAAAAGUUGCAUAUGCCCAUUGCUACCUAAUUCAGUUUGACAUUUUAUUUUGUGUUCAGGUGAUAUUGUGCUUACCUUAGAGUUCUUGAUACUUGUUGGACUGCAGUGUUGUCUGGAAGUGAAGGAGUAGGAAAUGUUGAAUGGUUUUUAUCUUCCUAAGCUGGCUUUGUUGGUACCUGCCAUCCAGAAUUCUCAACAGCCUGCUCACUUGUCUCUGAGGCUGUGGACACUUCGGUGCAGUAAGUCGAGGUCUACCGCGAUUCGGUCCAUGUGCCAGUACUGUUUCAGCAUCAGAGGGUGCUCCGCUCCUAAUUUAGUCCCCAGUCAGGGACCCUUGGGCUUCCUCUAGUGCUGGGUCAGCUCAUGGACAUGAGUGCAAGGCAAGCCCUGUGCUUUCUCACCCUAUCUCCAGCAGUUGGAAUCUUGCUCCGCUGUCGUCCUUUGACUGGUGGCUAAGGCGGGUUCAGUCUCACUCUGUAGGUGCUGGCCUGGAGGCAGCAGCUCUGGGGCCCUGCCAGCACUGGGUUUUUACCGGUUGACCUGGUGAUGCAUUUUAAGUCUGUGGCCUUGACUGAAUUCAGUCUCCAUGCGCCUUUGCAGGCGGCCUGGAGCUACACUGCUUGGAGCUGGAGGAAUGAGCGAUGCGGCCACUCUUCCCUUCUCGCCUAUUUCAACACACACUUUCCAGUUAUCCUGGAGUCCGUCAGAGCGAUCCCUCGCCUGGCUUCUUCAGCUCUUGUGAGAGUGGCUGGCCCCUGAGGCUGUUCAGAGUGGUGUCUCUUUUCCAGAGCUUCUUACCUGGCCUUCAUUAUCUCCACCUCUCUUUUGAAAAAUACCUUGCAGCUUACAAACCGCUUUACCAAAGAGAACACGGAGGCUCAGCAGAGGGACACAGAUCUGGGCAAUCUUGCAAACAUUCCUUCAUGGUACAGAACUGAUCUGAAGAAUCACAUAGUUUGAUCCUGUGGUAUCUCCUGUGCUGUGGUAGAGACAGAAAAAGACUAACUUGAACAGUUCUCAGUUGGAGGUCACUGCUCAGUUUUUAAAAGUGCAGCCAAUUCAAUGAAUUUCACCUUUGGAAGCAUCAAUCCAUGCUGUAUUUUUCACUUUUAUAAUUUCAUCUUACAAAUUUUAGUAUCUUUUCCUGAGCAUAUUAAUCACAGCCUUUUAAAAGUCCUGCCUAAUUUCAAAAUCAAUGUCAUCCAUAGGUCUUUUUAAAUUAUCUAUAUUUUCUCUUUCAUUUAGCUGGAGUUUUACCUUUUUUAAAGACAUGAUUUUUUAAUUGGAUAUCAGAUACUGCAUAUGAAAAAUUGUAGAGGAUUUGAAGGCUCUCCAGAAGGGUUUAAUAUUUUCUACUGCUAAGCAUAUGGAAUGCAGAUUGGUUAUUACAAUCCAAUUAGGCCUGGGCUUGAGGCUGGGUUUCAGUAUUAUUAAGGCUUUUUUUUUUCUUUUGGCUCCUCCAAAAUCUUGGGUGGAAUCCCUCAGCUAGACCUGCAAUUUUCACAGGUAAGUUCUAGAACUCCAAUCCUGAAAUUUUUUUUCUUCGAUUUUGCAGUUGCUUCUUGGUUUCUUAAUCUUGCUCCCUGUGUGGUUUUAAAAUUUGGAAGAUAUCUUGAGUGAUAGUUAUUAUAUUCAGGUUUUUUUUUUUUCUGCACCAAACUUUUUACUGAGCAUCUGACCUCUAAGGUUUUUGAUUGUUUGGUCUCUUUACUCCCCUAGGGCUGUCAAAGCUAGGCUGCUUCUUGAUCUAUUAGUAGAGGUUCUCUGCCUGGUUUCGUGCUGUGUUCUUAAGUUUCCUGCCCUGUGCUUAAAAAUCACAAACAGAAUUUCUUUACAAUUGCUCAUAUCCCAAGGAUUAUGUCCCCUAAGGUCUGUUUACCUAUGUGUUCUCCAAAGCCUAUAAUGAUGUUUUUUAAAAAACAUUUUAUCAGAAUUUCUUUUUGUUCUUCAGUGGAGCUUUUGUUUAUUGCAAGCUAUUGCAUCUUAGCCAAAGUUAGAAGUCCUACUACAGAGAACUUUUUCUAGUUUAUAACCUUUUAUUUUUUCGCUUUGUCUUCUUUUGGACUGCAUACGAUCACGGAGCUGUGUAUCUGUGUUCAUUCUAUCUCCAGUGCCUGUUAUCCAUUCUUGUCAUGUAAUAGGAACUCAAUAAAUACAUGCUGAUCUAAUGAAUAUUCA
ensembl:lncRNA